rnacentral:rRNA from 1 species
GCUGCAUGGUUGUCGUCAGCUCGUGCCGUGAGGUGUCGGGUUAAGUCCCAUAACCGAGCGCAACCCCUAUGUUAGUUGCCAUCAGGUCAUGCUGGGGACUCUAACAAAACUGCCCGCGUAAGCGUGGAGGAAGGUGGGGAUGACGUCAAAUCAGCACGGCCCUUACGUCCAGGGCUACACACGUGCUACAAUGGCCGGUACAGAGGGCAGCCACUUGGUGACAAGGAGCAAAUACUCAAAAGCCGGUCUCAGUUCGGAUCGGAGUCUGCAACUCGACUCCGUGAAGUUGGAUUCGCUAGUAAUCGUAGAUCAGCAAUGCUACGGUGAAUACGUUCCCGGCCUU